rnacentral:rRNA from 1 species
GUAGGUGGCAAGCGUUGUCCGGAAUUAUUGGGCGUAAAGCGCGCGCAGGCGGUUCUUUAAGUCUGAUGUGAAAGCCCACGGCUCAACCGUGGAGGGUCAUUGGAAACUGGAGAACUUGAGUACAGACGAGGAAAGCGGAAUUCCACGUGUAGCGGUGAAAUGCGUAGAGAUGUGGAGGAACACCAGUGGCGAAGGCGGCUUUCUGGUCUGUAACUGACGCUGAGGCGCGAAAGCGUGGGGAGCAAACAGGAUUAGAUACCCUGGUAGUCCACGCCGUAAACGAUGAGUGCUAAGUGUUAGGGGGUUUCCGCCCCCCUUAGUGCUGCAGCUAACGCAUUAAGCACUCCGCCUGGGAGUACGGCCGCAAGGCUG